rnacentral:rRNA from 1 species
CCUACGGGAGGCAGCAGUGGGGAAUUUUGGACAAUGGGCGAAAGCCUGAUCCAGCAAUGCCGCGUGCAGGAUGAAGGCCCUCGGGUUGUAAACUGCUUUUGUACGGAACGAAAAGCCUGGGGCUAAUAUCCCCGGGUCAUGACGGUACCGUAAGAAUAAGCACCGGCUAACUACGUGCCAGCAGCCGCGGUAAUACGUAGGGUGCAAGCGUUAAUCGGAAUUACUGGGCGUAAAGCGUGCGCAGGCGGUUUUGUAAGACAGUGGUGAAAUCCCCGGGCUCAACCUGGGAACUGCCAUUGUGACUGCAAGGCUAGAGUGCGGCAGAGGGGGAUGGAAUUCCGCGUGUAGCAGUGAAAUGCGUAGAUAUGCGGAGGAACACCGAUGGCGAAGGCAAUCCCCUGGGCCUGCACUGACGCUCAUGCACGAAAGCGUGGGGAGCAAACAGGAUUAGAUACCCUGGUAGUCCACGCCCUAAACGAUGUCAACUGGUUGUUGGGUCUUAACUGACUCAGUAACGAAGCUAACGCGUGAAGUUGACCGCCUGGGGAGUACGGCCGCAAGGUUGAAACUCAAAUGAAUUGACGGGG